UACGUAGGGGGCUAGCGUUGUCCGGAAUCAUUGGGCGUAAAGAGCGUGUAGGCGGCUCGAUAAGUCCGCUGUGAAAGUCCAGGGCUCAACCCUGGGAUGCCGGUGGAUACUGUCGGGCUCGAGUCCGGAAGAGGCGAGUGGAAUUCCUGGUGUAGCGGUGAAAUGCGCAGAUAUCAGGAGGAACACCAAUGGCGAAGGCAGCUCGCUGGGACGUGACUGACGCUGAGACGUGAAAGCGUGGGGAGCAAACAGG
rnacentral:rRNA from 1 species